rnacentral:rRNA from 1 species
AACUAGUAUGAAAGGUUUGACGUAAUAAAACUUUUUUUAAUUUAAAACUAUUGAAUUUAGAUUUUAAGUAAAAAAACUUAAAUUUUUAAAAGUGACGAGAAGACCCUAUAGAAUUUAAAAAAUAGCUAUGAAAUUAAUUAUUUUUUAUUGGGGUGAUAAGAAAAUAAACUUUUCAUUUAUUUUUUCAAUUUUUGUGUUUUAAAAGAUCUUAAUUUUUAGAUAAUUAGUAUAAAUUACCUUAGGGAUAACAGCAUAAUUUUUUUUAAAAGAUCAAAUUAAUAAAAAAGAUUAUGACCUCGAUGUUGAAUUAAGAUAGUAUCUUGGGGUAGAUUUUAAGAUACUUAGUCUGUUCGACUUUAAAAUUUUACAUGAUUUGAGUUCAAACCGGUGUGAGCCAGGUUGGUUUCUAUCUUUUUAUAAUUU